UACGUAGGCAGCAAGCGUUGUUCGGAGUUACUGGGCGUAAAGGGUGUGUAGGCGGUUUUUUAAGUUUGGUGUGAAAUCUCCCGGCUCAACUGGGAGGGUGCGCCGAAUACUGAAAGACUAGAGUGCGGGAGAGGAAAGUGGAAUUCCUGGUGUAGCGGUGAAAUGCGUAGAUAUCAGGAGGAACACCGGUGGUGUAGACGGCUUUCUGGACCGUAACUGACGCUGAGACACGAAAGCGUGGGUAGCAGACAGG
rnacentral:rRNA from 1 species